rnacentral:rRNA from 1 species
GACGAAGGUGGCGAGCGUUGUUCGGAAUCACUGGGCAUAAAGCGCACGUAGGCGGUGUCGUAAGUCGGGUGUGAAAUCCCUCGGCCUAACCGAGGAAGUGCAUCCGAAACUGGCGAGCUAGAGUACGAAAGAGGAUCGCGGAAUUCCCGGUGUAGAGGUGAAAUUCGUAGAUAUCGGGAGGAACACCGGUGGCGAAGGCGGCGAUCUGGGUCGAUACUGACGCUGAGGUGCGAAAGCGUGGGGAGCAAACAGG